GAUUUCCCGAGCUCCGCGUUUCCGCCCCGACCCGGGCGCUGCUGUGUGCCGGGGCUGUGGGGCCUCGGUGUUACCUGAGGUAGUGGGUGACAGCCCUGCAGAGGGCUUGGAGCCGCGUGAUCUUUAAGGUGUCUUCCAACGCAGCCAUUCUAUGAUCAUCCGGUUCCAGACCCUCUGCCGUAGGAAGGGAUGCCUUCCAUUAAACCAGCCUGGCCUUGAGCACCCCCAGGGAUGGGGCAUCCACAGCUCCUCUGGGCAGCAGUGCCUCACCACACUGAGUAAAGAAUUCCUGCCUAACCUCUAACCUAAUUCUCCCCUCUUUCAGUUUAAAGUCGUUACCCCUUGUCCUAUCACUGUAUGAUAAACAGUCUCUCUCAUCUCUCUUCAAGGACCCUUUAGGUACUGGAAGGCUGCUGUGAGUUCUCCACAAAGUCUUCUCAAGACUGAACAACCCCAGCUCUCUCAGCCUGUCUUCAUAGGAGAGGUGCUUCAGUCCUCUCUCAUCCUUGCGGCCCUCUGCGCUUUGUACUCUCUCCAGCAGUCCAUAUCCUUCUUAGGCUGGGCCCCAAGAGCUGGAUGUACUGCCAUAUCAGCUGCACCACUCAGUUUGGUGUCUGCUAACUUGCUAGGGGUGAUCUGAGUCCCACUGUCCGUGUCACUGACAAAGAUGAUAAACAGUGCUGGUCCCAGAUACCCUGCAGAGGGAGAAUGCCAAGGACAGGGCAUCUUGCUGAGUUCGACCCUGGGAAUACAGAGGGGAACAGGCUUCUCUGGGGACAGGUCUGAUCUCCUUGAAGGCCUCCUGGGCAUCCCUUUGGAUGCCGCUUCAUGGAGCUCCAUAUUUUUCCUGUCAGAGUGGAGACCUUGGAGGUGGCAGGACAGCCAAAUCCCAUGCAACCAAAAACUAUUAGAUAUGAAUCUCCAGCACGAGCAGAAUCAUAGAAUAACUUAGGUUGGAGAAGCCUUUCAGUAUCAUCAUAUCCAAGCAUCAAACUGUCCUACAGAGUCCCAUCACUAAGCUAUGUCCCUUAGUGCUACAUCCACACGUCCCUUAAAUACCUCCAGGGAUGGGAACUCCACCACUUCCCUGGACAUACCGUUCCAAUGCCUGACCACCCCUUCUGUGAAGAAAUUGAUCCUGGUGUCCAAUCUAAAUCUCUCUCAGUGCAACAUGAGAUCAUUUCCUCACAUCUUGUCACCCCCUUUACAAGAAGCAGUUCUGGGAACACAUGAGACAGUGAUAACUGCCCAUAAUAGCACACUGGGCUGGAAUUAUCUCAGGGUGACUGUUCUUAGGGCUAACUAUGGUAUUCUGGUUCCUUCAUUUUCAACGCGGAAAGGCAUUUUAGCUAAAAUGUCAGCUUUCCAUCUGGAAAAUAUCAGUCUUUCAUUAAAUAAUUGCCUGGCUUGAAAACAUGUUCCUUCGGUUCGAAAAUGUUAGCACCUAGAACUGUAAAUUAACUUGUGUUUAAUUAAGGCACACUCUUCUAUGGAGUGGUUUUUCCAGCUGCACUCCAAACACUGCAGUCAGAAGCUCCCCAGUACAAGGGAGAAGAGGGUGAUGGACAACAGAUAAUGAUAGGGACCAAUCUUUUACUAGGUUUUCAGCCGAGAAAUUUCAGCAUUCAAACUCUGUGUGCAGGUUGCCAAUAGAAAUAAAACCAGCAAGCAUUUGGGACCAUCUGCAUGGUGAAGAGCAGGUCUCAUAGGUUUAUUCUAUAAUCUGUGUGCUUUCUGCUUAUGCUGCUAAGAAAGAGAAUCCAUUUACUUGUAGAUACACUGAGACUUUCUCUGCUUGUGGGGGUGAGAUCUUCAAAUUACUGUUGUGUCCCAUCACUGUGCCCAUGGCUGUUAUGUUAGAUGUGAUAGAAGUGACUGUGAUGGACAGUGUGUAAGACUUAGAGGAGCAGUAAAGUUAGCUUCUGUGAGACCAAGGAGCAGAAAUACCAGCAGCUCAUUGUGACUUUUUAUUUGAACUCUAAGUAAAAUUCUUGUGAACUGGAGGAUCUUACUCUACAUGAAGCAAAGGCAGAAGAAGAGCAACAAAGAUCAACUGAGUUUUACUUGACAGAGCAAUUCUAUUUGAUUAUGCUUCUGAUAGUUAUGUGUUCCCACAGAUUUGGUUUUAGUAUCAACAGCCCAGUUUUGGGAACAGAUCUUAUGUAGAAAACAAAAUAUCCGAGUUUUUUGGGGAACAGUUUAUCAUUUAGAUUUAGAUUUGUGCUUCACUGCCAACCAGAUCUGCAUAUCUUGCAGCUCUCUGAAGACAUCCAAAUGCAAGAACAUUUCUACUUGCAUUUGUAAAAUGAAUGGGGGUAUCUUGGGAAUCAGAAGUGCUAUGUCUGAUUUUAAUUGGAAUGAAACACUUCAGUUUUUAAAAGUCAAAGAAAAAUGAAUGCUCUUUUAGAUAAGGGAGGGAAAUAACCAAAUAAGCCUAGUGGAAAAAUGCAAAUAAAAUAAUAGUAAAAAAAAAAAAAGCCAACCAUAAAACCUUUGAUAUCUUUUUAUAUAAAUGGAAAAGCUGCUUAUGUCUAGGGAACAUUGAAGUGUUUGCUUGAAACUCUGUUUUAACACAUCAGCAUAGUGGACAUACAACUCGGAAAAGCAAUUGUUUGGGCCAACCUAGUUUAUUCAGAUCUUUCUUUCAUUACAGUCUGAUCACAGUUUGCUUUGUCCAUUCUGCUGGUUAUGAGUAACAUGGGUUGCGUUCACCCAGUGAAGAAGGAAACUCCUGCUCUGACUCUUCUCAUGAUGGCCUGAGCUGCUGGGCUGAGCUACAAAUAACUCAUCUAUUUCUGCCUGUGCUGCAUAGAAGCUUUCUCCCCUGCCCUGAGAGGAGUUGGGAUUUGAUUGUGCCAAGUUGCUGGAAUUCCUCACCAUCAGCUCUUCCAUGAUAGAAGACUCAUUCUGACUCAUUUUGUCACCAUUCAACAAAAUAGAUAAAAAAUCUGCAGUCUUUUUUUUUUUUUCCUAAUAAAUUUAGUGAUUGAAGUAAAACUA